CUGGUUGAUCCUGCCUGAACUGAUGUGCUUAUCUCAAAGAUUAAGCCAUGCAUGUCUAAGUAUAAACGAUUUAAUCGUGAAACCGCGAAUGGCUCAUUAUAACAGCUAUAAUUUACUUGAUCUUGACACAAUCCUACUUGGAUAACUGUGGUAAUUCUAGAGCUAAUACAUGCAUUAAAGCUCUGACCUCACGGGAAGAGUGCAUUUAUUAGAACAAAACCAAGCGGCUUCGGCUGUUUCUGGUUGACUCAUAGUAACUGAGCUGAUCGCAUGGUCUUGCACCGGCGACGUGUCUUUCAAGUAUCUGCCGUAUCAACUUUCGAUGGUAGUGUAUCUGACUACCAUGGUGAUCACGCGUAACGGAGAAUAAGGGUUCGGCUCCGGAGAGUUCGCCUGAGAAAUCGCGAACACAUCUAAGGAAGGCAGCAGGCGCGAAAAUUACCCACUCUCAGCACGAGGAGGUAGUGACGAAAAAUAACGAGACCGUUCUCUUAUGAGGCCGGUCAUCGGAAUGGGUACAAUUUAAACCCUUUAACGAGUAUCUAUGGGAGGGCAAGUCUGGU
rnacentral:rRNA from 1 species